GCAGUGUCUCAAAAGGCAGAUGCAGUAAGUUUUCUCGCAGGAUGCAGUGCCCAUGAAGGUGGAUGCCGUGAACCUGCAGUGGUUGCAGUGCCCCCUACAGUUUCCCUGGACGUGGCUGCAGUGCCCAUGCAAUGGCUGCAGUGUCACUGAAGGUAUAUGCAGUAUGUUGUGUUGGAGGAAGCAGUGGCCAUGAAGCUGGAUGCAGUGAUCCUGCAGUGGUUGCAGUGCCCCCUGCAGGGUCCCUGAAUGAGAAUGCCGUGCCCUUGUAUUGGAUUCAGUGCCCCACAUGGUGGAUGCAGUAUGUUAUGACAGAUGAUGUAUUGCACAUGAACGAUGAUGCAGUGAUUCUGCAGUGAUAGCAGUGCACCUGCAGUGUCACUUCAGCUGACUGCAGUGCACCUGCAGUGGUUGCAGUGCCCCCUUCUGUGUCUCUGAAUACGAAUGCAGUGCGCAUGCUUUGGAUGCAGAGUACCAAAAGAUGGAUGUGGUAUGCUGUGACAGAGGAUGCAG
rnacentral:lncRNA from 1 species